rnacentral:lncRNA from 1 species
UUUUGUGUAAAAGUGUCAUUUUGUUGUAUUUUGUUCUUCUGAGACAGGGCGGCAUUGUAUAAGCCAGGCUGAUCUUGAACCACUCUUGCCUCAGCCUUGAAAGCUCCUGAAUACAGAUGUGGGUCACCAUGCCUGGCUGGCAUGCUCGUUUGUAAAUUGGGCUGUCUUUUUAUUACUAAGUUGUAUGAGGUUUUAUGCAAAUAGCCACUUACCCGGUAGGUGUAUGACAUACAUGCAAGUCCCUUCUGGUUUGCCCCAUCUCUUUUCCCCUAGAGUGUGACUACCCACAUACACAUGCAGCUAAUGGAUUUCUUUGAAAGAGACAUUUAUUAUUAAGGGGACGGCUCAUGGGAAUUAGUUCUGUCCUUCCACCAUGCGGGUUCCCAGGGACCAUCAGGCUGAUGCUGAGUGCUGAGCUGUCUCUAUCACCCGCAGAAGCAUUUGAAUUGGUGAAGUCUGGUUUCUUUGUUCUUCAUUACUCAUUGUUUGAGUGUUGUAGCUUAGAAUCCAUUGUCUCAUCUGGGGAAAUGGUGCAUGCCUGCCUUCUGAGAGUUGUAUAGUUUUAGUUCUUAUACUUACAUGUUUGGUUGGUUCAUCUUAAGUGGAUCUUUGAACCUGGUUUGAGACUCAUGCUCAAGUCCUGUGUCCUGUGGCAUCUGGUGGUUCUGCUCCACAUCUUGAAAAGGAGACUUUCCCUAUUGAAUUGUCUUGGUGUACUUUGCAGUUUUUUUUUAAUAUAUCUUUUUAAACAUUUUGUGUAUUGGUUUGUGAGUGUGUGGGUGCUAGAGACACACUUGCUAGAGUCUGUUUUCUCUUUCCACCCUGUGGGUCCCAAUGAUUGAGCUCAGAUUGUCAGGCUUGGUGGCAAGCACUGUUACCUGUCUAGCUAUCCCUCUGGCCCCCUGCAGUCAUGUGACAUGCUUAUACCAAGUGAGAUGGCUAGAUUGGUCACUGUAGUUCUUUAUGAAAACUUUAGGAGGUUAGCUUUUACAUGAUAUAAAUCUGUCAUUAAAAAUUAAUUACAUGUAUAAGAUACAAUAUAUAACAUUUCAGUACAUGUGUGAUGUUUCAUGAUCAGCUCCUGGUAGCAUAUCUAUAUCAAACAUCAUUUCUUUGUGUUGGAAACAUUCAGCAUUCUAGCUUUUUAAAUCUUUUGAGUGUUUUGCCUGAGUGCAUGUCUGUGCAUGCGAUGCCCACAGAGUCAGAAGAGGGUGUUAGAUCCCAUGUACUGGAGUUACAGAUGGUUGUGUGCCACCGUGUAGGUGUUGGCAACUGAGUCUUUUCCUCUGGGAAGGCAGCCAGUGCUCUUACCUGCUGAGCCUUCUCUCCAGCCACUCUACUACCUGUUUUGAAGUGCACAGUUAACUGUUAACUAUAGUUACCUUACAGUACUAUAAAAUGUUAGAAGUUGUUUUUCUUCUCCACUUGCAUUCCCGAACCUAUUAGCCAUUCUUUCCAGUUGUCUUGAGUUUUUUCCUAAUUCAUCACAGGUCAUUUUGUAAAAUAAAAGCAAAUUAUUAGAGAAACAAGUGCGUGCUCAUACAUGACAGUGUCAAAUUUUAAUGCAAGUUCUAAAGUGGCUUGUACGCUCAUCUCCAUGGAUAGAUGGAGAUUCAGAGCAAUGCUGGUCCAGAGAUGCUCAGAGGACUUGGCCAUGUGUUGGCCAUGCUCAGUCCGCUUACCCUUUGCUGGGCAUUGUCAUUCCCUCCAGUCUUGGGAGGACAGCCUUCUCCAAGGCUUGCUAAUGGUUCAACUUCUAAACUGCCAUCUAAAUGAGGCGGGCCAUGUGCUGAGAGCACUCCACCUGUAAUCAAGGAUGCUUCUUACAGUGUCUGUGGCCAGUGGUGGAAUUAUAAGGCAAAACAGAUAUAGGAAGGGGUCUCAACAGAAAGCCCACAGCCCACCUGGACAGUCAGUGUGUGCAUGGGAAGUGUGGCAAACCAUUAUGCAAAGGUUUAUGAGCUGCUAAGGGGAAAUUUAGUGUAAAAACCCCAACUGAGUAUACUCGGUGGCUCCAGUUUUUAGAAUUGUGUGCUGCAUUAGACUAGUAAACUCUAAACUAAAAUUAAAAAGGCACUAAACACAAGCAAGGCCUUCUUGGCCUCGCAUGCACAUCCUCAUUGCAUCUGACAGUGAAGAAAGCCUUCCACCUCACAACUCUCCAACAACUUUACCAUGCUUGUUCCUCUCUUCCUUAUCGUUCCCUUAUGACCUCACUUUAUUCCCUGGAGCUGUGCACCCGGGUUUCCCAGGCUCUGUAAUGAGUUUAGCCUCUGCCUUUGAUAUUCUACCAGUCGGCACACAAAAGGCAGCUUCAAAGACAAGUCCACAGUCCGCGGCUCUUUCUUAUAUAUUCAGAAUAUGCGGACGGAGGCCUGUGCGCUCCCGCCCGCGUUAGUGACAGUGAUACAGUGUGAAUGUAAGACAAGUCAAACAUCUAACAACUGAGGCUGAGACAAGGACCCUGCUCUAUUGCCACAGAAUCCAGGGCCUAACGGUGCUGCUGACUGUGUAUUUGGAGAGAUGGUUUGUGGUUUUUGUAUAGCUAGAUGAAAGGUGGGGUGUUUAAUAGGCUGAUUGCACUUACAGUUGGAGUCUCAUUUCGUGGGGCUGCUGCAGCUGCCUUUUACAUCUUAGAGAAUCUUACAGUUCACAUGGUUUGAUGCUGUCAUAAGUCUUAGUCUUAUGAGGUCGGGUGCUCCACUAGUCUGACUUCCCUGUUCCAUCCAUCUUUCCCUUUUUUUUUUUUUUUUUUUUGUGGUGGCUGGCCAGCCGUGUGCUCAGACUGCAUUCGCACAGACACAUGGCAGCUCACAUUGGUCACAUAGAGACACAUGGCAGCUUACAUUGGCUUUAAAUAUGGAAAAGCCAGGGCCUUAUGGUCCCAUGCUGUCCUAACUAGCAUCAGGACAGCCAUCACAGUCUGCUUUUCCCUUGGUUUUUUAAGGGUUUCCGUGAAUAUCUAAUAUCCCGUUGUGUUGUCCCAUAAUUUACCCCAAUGUCCUGUUUAUAAUGAAUCACUUUUCACUAGGCCAUAGAAAAGACUUUAAAAAUGCAGAUCUCCCCCUCACACACAUAAAUGUUGCAGAUGUGCAGCUUGGUCUUCAUGAGGGCCCCAAACAACUGGAUCAGGGGCCAUCCCAAAGGCUGUUCCUGUACAUAGGCUAUGUUCUUCUAGCUGGCCUGCCUUGUCUGGCCUCAGUGGGAGGGGAUGCCCCUAGCCCCAAGGAGACUUGGUGUGCCAGGGUGGGAGGAUACGGGAGGCUCCACCCUCUGAGGUCAAGGGGAGGGGGAGGGAUGACUGAGAGGAAGUGCAUAAGUGGGAUGUAAAGUGAAUAAGUAAAAAUAAAAGGAAAAAGAAAAGAAUGCAGAUCUUGCAUACUGUGGUGGCGCAUGCCUUUAUCCCAGCACUCGGGAGGCAGAGGCAGGCAGAUCUGAGUGUGAGGCCAGCCUGGUCUACAGAGUGAGUUCCAGGAUGGUCAGGGCUACACAGAGAAACCCUGUCUUGGAACUACCACCUCACCCUUCACCCUCCACCCCCACCUCUACCCCC